UUUAUUAGGGUGAAGCAAAUGACGAAGACACCCUCUCUGUGUGUUCUGAAACCAUUGCUGAGGUGAAUGCAUUUGUUUUUUUGUUUAUGGCACACAUUUUAAUGUCACACAAAUGUGACUGGCCCUUAUCUUUUAUUGUAGGAUUUUUCACAACCUGCCCCACAAACUGAUGCCUCUACCUCAAUGGGCUUCAGAAGGAAUGUGAACAAGGUGGAAACUGACUCAGUCAGGGCCCUUUACAAAAGGAGCCUAGAAUUGGACUGCACUCUAAAGGAGCUGGACUGUGAGCUGAGGAGCCUCCAAAUUAAAAAAAUUAAAUUGGAGAUCAAACAACUGGAAAAACAGAUCUCACCACAUCAACAAUAAAACCAUUUGAGAC